CAGCGGCCCUAGUGGUGAUCGUUAUUAUUGGGCCUAAAGCGUCCGUAGCCGGUUCGGUAAAUCCCUGGGUAAAUCGUUGGGCUUAACUCAACGCAUUCUGGGGAGACUGCCGAACUUGGGACCGGGAGAGGUCGGAGGUACUCCAGGGGUAGGGGUGAAAUCCUGUAAUCCUUGGGGGACCACCGGUGGCGAAGGCGUCCGACCAGAACGGGUCCGACGGUAAGGGACGAAGCCCUGGGGCGCGAACCGGAUUAGAUACCCGAGUAGUCC
rnacentral:rRNA from 1 species